CGGAUUCUUCAUCAUCUGACUAAAGCCAAAAAGAACUGAUACUAACAAAUCACCAUUUGAGAUUUCCACUUUUUCAUUAUCCAUUUUAGUACAACUUAAAUCAAGGGGGAAAAAGGAAUAAAACAAGCAGAUGAUUACACAUGCACACUGAUUUCCAUUUUGUCACCAUUUCUUGCCGAUGUUGCUGUAAUUCUUUUUUUUUUUUUUNNN
rnacentral:lncRNA from 1 species